rnacentral:rRNA from 1 species
UACGAAGGGGGCUAGCGUUGUUCGGAAUCACUGGGCGUAAAGCGCACGUAGGCGGAUUGUUAAGUCGGGGGUGAAAUCCUGAGGCUCAACCUCAGAACUGCCUUCGAUACUGGCAAUCUCGAGUCCGGAAGAGGUUGGUGGAACAGCUAGUGUAGAGGUGAAAUUCGUAGAUAUUAGCUAGAACACCAGUGGCGAAGGCGGCCCAACUGGUCCGGUACUGACGCUGAGGUGCGAAAGCGUGGGGAGCAACAGG